UGAUUUUUUAUAUAAAAGUAAAAUUUAAUAUAAAUGUAAUAAUAUAGCAAUAGCUUCGUUGUUGAAUCUGUGACAUCUUUAAGGGAAACUGGGAUUGGAUACCCCACUAUUUCUAGGCGUAAAUUAAGAGAUUUACCAGAGUACUACAAAUGAAAUAAUUUAAAACUCAAAGAGCUUGGCGGUAUUUUAGACCACUUAGGGGAACCUGUCUCAUAAUCGACAAUCCACGUUAAACCUUACCUUUUUUUGUAACCAGCUUGUAUACCGUUGUCAUCAGGUAACUUCUAAAGAACAAAGCAGUUAGCUAAAAAAUUUAUUUAAAUUUAGAUGUCAAAUCAAGGUGCAGCUUAUAAAAAGGAGAAGAUGGGUUACAAUUAUAAAUUAUAAUACGGAUAUGUAUACUGAAAAUAGCUUGAAGGAGGACUUAAAAGUAAACUUUUUAUAUAAAGAUAAUUUGAACAAGGCUCUAAAAUGUGCACACAU
rnacentral:rRNA from 1 species